AUCCAGUCGACGAGUCCUACAUAGGAUGAAACGCGCGUUCUGAAU
rnacentral:hammerhead_ribozyme from 1 species